AAGCCAAGAAUCAGUGGACGUGGUGUCCUGGUACUUUUGCUCUGGAACUUCUGAUGCUCACCCAGUGGCUCCUCAUCUCUUCAGAUGUCACACACACUGUGGCAGUUGUGUCCUGGUUUCAGCUAGCAUAAAGUUAAUUUUCUUCGGUGGCUGCUCUGUGCUGGUAGUGCUGUAGAGAUCCACUGGUGUCAGAUCUCUGAAUGGGACCCUGCCACCAAACAUGUCCUAAUUCACCAGAGCAUCUAGUGUUGCCAGAAAAGAGGUGCACAGGUGAAAUUCUGGAUGAAGUGAAGCCUUCUCAUGAUGAGUCAUCACGUUACACAAAGUAAAAGUAUUGCAUUUGUCACAGAACUUCAGCAAGUACAAAGGGUCUGGAUCCACAGUCAGAAGUCUACGGGUGUCCCAUCCCGGCACAGGGCCAGGGACUCCACCAUAGACUGCGGUGGGACUAAUGGAGCUUUUGUUCUGUGCUCACUCCUGGGCAAGUCACAGGUCUCAGCAAAGAGACUUCUUUCUUUCUCAGCUGUGAAUAAGAAAACUGGAAUCUGAAUGGCAGAAAAUGGUGGAAGAAAAAGAUUAUAAUUUACUAGAGACUAAUUGCUCAAAGCUAACUGAGGCCCAGUUCUCACAGCAUCUCAGGAGGGAAUUUCUAUUCCUGGAGGUACAAAGCACUCAAUCUUCCCUUCCUUCUCCUAUCAGCAGAGACAAGAGAACUUCAUAUUCGUUGUCUUUGGUGUGACACCACUAUUUAAUCCCUGUACCAUUAGCCAAGAACGGACAUGCAUACCUGUAUAUGUAAUGUUCAAAAUAAAAUGAAGUUUGUUUAUUUGUUCA
rnacentral:lncRNA from 1 species